rnacentral:lncRNA from 1 species
CUUUCAAGUAUAUCAGCUGGAUCAAGCAUCUUGUAGUCUGGUCUUUCUUGAAUCAUCAUGACUAAAGUAUCAAAUGAAGAAUCCAAAGAUCUUAGUAGUUUCUUCACAACUUCAUGAUCAGUAAUGUCUCGAGCUCCCAGUGCUAAUAGUUCAUUUGAUAUGUAAGUGAGGCGAUCAAAGGUAUCUUGGCAGCUUUCAUUGUCAAGCCUCUUGAAGCGAUUGAAGAGAUUGCGAAGAACAUGAACACGAGAAUCACACUGGGUUGAUACUCCUUCAUUUACUUUGCAUAGUCUCUCCCAGAUAAGUGUCGCUGAGCCCAAAGCACUCACUCU